rnacentral:lncRNA from 1 species
GACGUUCCUUCAUAAUAGAAACCUGAUUUCCUGAUCUCUCAGACUGAAACAACGUUGCUUUUAAAAAAAAAAGUCUUUGAAACUAAAGCUUGGCUGUAAUGAAGUUCAUGAAAGGAAUAAGCUACUGAGGAUAUUUGCUAAAUAUGCUGAGAGAGGGACCAGUGUUGUAUGCUUGAGAUGGACUAAUUAUUUCUGCUGUUAUCUCAUCUCCCAGAAGAUCAUUUUCUCCGAAGACACAUGUUUUCUUUAUGAAAGGAAAUAAGCAAAAUUAAAAAAGAAUUAUAUCAUGGAAAGAAUUAGCAUUGUGUUUGUGUUAAGCAGAAACAAAUAUUAACUUGGAUUGUUUGGGAAACCGAGCAUAUAUUAGGCAAGUUAUUCUGAGUAAAAAUGAAAAGAAAACUUUUAAAGGAAGGGCACUUAAAAC